rnacentral:rRNA from 1 species
UACGUAGGUGGCGAGCGUUGUCCGGAUUUACUGGGCGUAAAGGGCGUGCAGGCGGUUUGUUAAGUGCAGAGUGAAAGCCCCCGGCUCAACUGGGGAGGGUCAUUCGAUACUGUUCGACUCGAAGGCAGGAGAGGGAAGCGGAAUUCCCGGUGUAGUGGUGAAAUGCGUAGAUAUCGGGAGGAACACCAGUGGCGAAGGCGGCUUUCUGGCCUGUUCUUGACGCUGAGGCGCGAAAGCCAGGGGAGCAAACGGG